GACGAACGCUGGCGGCGUGCUUAGCACAUGCAAGUCGAACGGAAAGGCCCUGCUUUUGUGGGGUGCUCGAGUGGCGAACGGGUGAGUAACACGUGAGUAACCUGCCCUUGACUUUGGGAUAACUUCAGGAAACUGGGGCUAAUACCGGAUAGGAGCUCCUGCUGCAUGGUGGGGGUUGGAAAGUUUCGGCGGUUGGGGAUGGACUCGCGGCUUAUCAGCUUGUUGGUGGGGUAGUGGCUUACCAAGGCUUUGACGGGUAGCCGGCCUGAGAGGGUGACCGGCCACAUUGGGACUGAGAUACGGCCCAGGCUCCUACGGGAGGCAGCAGUGGGGAAUAUUGCACAAUGGGCGGAAGCCUGAUGCAGCAACGCCGCGUGCGGGAUGACGGCCUUCGGGUUGUAAACCGCUUUCGCCUGUGACGAAGCGUGAGUGACGGUAAUGGGUAAAGAAGCACCGGCUAACUACGUG
rnacentral:rRNA from 1 species